UACGUAGGGUGCGAGCGUUAAUCGGAAUUACUGGGCGUAAAGGGUGCGCAGGCGGCUCCGCAUGUCGGGCGUGAAAGCCCCGGGCUUAACCCGGGAAUGGCGCCCGAAACUAUGGAGCUGGAGUGUGGCAGAGGGAGGUGGAAUUCCACGUGUAGCGGUGAAAUGCGUAGAGAUCCGGAGGAACACCAGUGGCGAAGGCGACACGCUGGGCCGUACCUGACACUGAUGCGCGACAGCAUGGGGAGCAAACAGG
rnacentral:rRNA from 1 species